rnacentral:rRNA from 1 species
GAUGAACGCUGGCGGCGUGCCUAAUACAUGCAAGUCGAGCGAACGGACGAGAAGCUUGCUUAUCUGAUGUUAGCGGCGGACGGGUGAGUAACACGUGGAUAACCUACCUAUAAGACUGGGAUAACUUCGGGAAACCGUAGCUAAUACCGGAUAAUAUUUUGAACCGCAUGGUUCAAAAGUGAAAGACGGUCUUGCUGUCACUUAUAGAUGGAUCCGCGCUGCAUUAGCUAGUUGGUAAGGUAACGGCUUACCAAGGCAACGAUGCAUAGCCGACCUGAGAGGGUGAUCGGCCACACGGGAAGUGAGACACGGUCAAGACUCCUGCGGGAGGCAGCAGUAGGGAAUGUGCCGCAAUGGGCGAAAGCAUGACGGAGCAACGCCGCGUGAGUGAUGAAGGUCUUCGGAGCGUAAAACUCUGUUAUUAGGGAAGAACAUAUGUGUAAGUAACUGUGCACAUCUUGACGGUACCUAAUCAGAAAGCCACGGCUAACUACGUG